AAUCAUUUCGUAUUGAGUAGGCAUUGUAUUUGUAGACAAAUUUAUUUGAUGAAAACAAUUUGUUUUGCAUUUAUUGAUUAAUUUUAAUGUAAAAAAAAAGUUAUUCGCUGUGUUUUGUAAAAAUUAAUUGUGAUAAUUAACACAAAAAAAAAAUGUAUCAAAAGAACGUUUGGAAACUAGUGUAAUAAAUAGCGAUCCAGUUCCUGUGCAAUGUGAAAAUGAAAGUGAGAGUGAACAUGAAAGCGACGAAGCUCCAAUUAUUUCUACAAUUGAAAAACUUAAUAUUCAAGAUGAGUUAGCUAAGUGGAGUGUGAAACAUUUAAUUUCGAACUCUGCAUUGAAUGAACUUUUAACAAUUAUAAGGAGGAUGAUACCAAGCCUACCAAAAGAUGCCAGAUCAUUAAAAAAAAACCCAAGAGAUGCUCCAGUUGUGUCAAUUGCAGGAGCUAACCAAGUAAUAAGUGCAAUUCAGCCUAUGUUCAUUAGGCUAACAAGCGAAGUGCAAAGCUUGCGUAAGGAGUUGCAGGAGCAAUGCCAUCCGUUCCAUUCAAGGAUAUUGGAUAUAGUUUCUCGAAUUCGAAAAAGGACUCCAAGAAAUAAACAAAGCAUUUAUUUCUUUUGAAAGCGAACUGAAACUUGUUGCCAAGGCACCAAAUUUCGUAAAGAAUUGCUGGAAAAAAUAAUAACAGAUGAAUUGGGAGAACGACUCCGCUGGAAACGAACGGAGACAAAGAGAAGUGUUCGCAAUUUUAGUACAACAAAAGCAAUACGAAGUAUGCAACUCUAUCAUUGGGCUACACGGAGGACACAUUCAUUAAAGACACGCGCACUUUCUUUCAAUUCGCUAAAAAUCGUAUAAAGCUGCGAAACGAAUACAAAAACAAAAAAAUAAAAUCUAAAUUUAAAAAAAAAAAAAAACAAUUAUAUUAUAACUUUCACUAAAAUUAGUUGUACUAAUUAUCUUAAUUUAAAACACAACUAAAU